CAGCCUCUACUAUUAUCCGAAUGUUUGCGCUUUCCGUGAACGGCUUAUGUAGGUAAUGUGGGGGCUU
rnacentral:ncRNA from 1 species